rnacentral:rRNA from 1 species
UACGAGGGGGGCGAGCGUUGUUCGGAAUUAUUGGGCGUAAAGGGUGCGUAGGCGGUUUGGUAAGUCUGAUGUGAAAUCUAUGGGCUCAACUCAUAGUCUGCAUCGGAAACUGCCGGACUUGAGUGUGGGAGAGGUGAGUGGAAUUCCUGGUGUAGCGGUGAAAUGCGUAGAUAUCAGGAGGAACACCUGUGGCGAAAGCGGCUCACUGGACCAUAACUGACGCUGAUGCACGAAAGCUAGGGGAGCAAACAGG